ACUCCUAGGAGAACAAUUUAUCUUACUUACUUCCUGAUUUGUGGAUGUUGUCUUGAACUGGCAACACGGGUUCAGACAAUUCGUGCAGCCUCUCCUCUUGCAUAUGCAACUUUUGCACUUCCCCCUGUUUUCACACGGACAACAAUGCUUAAGAAAGAUGUUAAAAAUCACUAAUUAAACCAUAUAACAUACAUGUACAUGUAGUUUACAUGAAUGAGGUAUGAAUUUAUUAAAAGGUUCAUGUUUUUUGUAAUAUAUUUUUAUGUAUAAUAUUAUAAUGUAUCAACAGAAUACAGUUUCAAUAUGUAAAAGUUUUUAGGGUGCCCAUGUCUGUAAUACAUGUACUAGUAAUUAUAACUUUUUAAUUUUGUAUGGUACAGAUAAGAGAGAAAAUUCAUGCAUUUUUUUACAUCUAUCUUUUUUUUUUAUGAAGUUGCUUACUACUUGUAUGUAGAAAAUGAGAAACUUGAAACUUGUGUAUUCUGAACAUCAAUCUAAUUUUUAUGAAGCUUGCUUCUGUGUAUUGUAUGCAGCUGAUGUUUAUUCAAAUAUCAUGAUUAUGAUGUACUUCAGAUAAUUAUUCCUGUUCUGUCAUGAUUGAAAACUGAUAAAAUGAUAUUAUUUUACCAUAUUAUUUUAAUUGAAUAAAGGCAUUUUAUUGC
rnacentral:sRNA from 1 species